UACGUAGGGGCAAGCGUUGUCCGGAUUAUUGGGCGUAAAGAGCGUGUAGGCGGUCAGGUAGGUCCGUUGUGAAAACUCGAGGCUCAACCUCGAGACGCCGAUGGAAACCAUCUGGCUAGAGUCCGGAAGAGGAGAGUGGAAUUCCUGGUGUAGCGGUGAAAUGCGCAGAUAUCAGGAAGAACACCCGUGGCUAAGGCGGCUCUCUAGUACGGUACUGACGCUGAGACGCGAAAGCGUGGGGAGCAAACAGG
rnacentral:rRNA from 1 species